UACGUAGGGGGCAAGCGUUGUCCGGAUUUAUUGGGCGUAAAGAGCGUGUAGGCGGUCAGGUAGGUCCGUUGUGAAAACUCGAGGCUCAACCUCGAGACGCCGAUGGAAACCAUCUGACUAGAGUCCGGAAGAGGAGAGUGGAAUUCCUGGUGUAGCGGUGAAAUGCGCAGAUAUCAGGAAGAACACCCGAGGCGAAGGCGGGUUGCUGGGCUGAUACUGACGCUGAGGCGCGAAAGCCAGGGGAGCAAACGGG
rnacentral:rRNA from 1 species